CCGCUGAGUGGGGAGGAGAGAGGGACAGAGAGCCUGCUUCUUUAAAGGAGCAAGCGGGAGAGGAGAGGCGCCGCUUCCACCAGUGUACGCGGCUCCUGUCCGGUGGGUUCCUUUACAGUGAGCAGGCUCUCUGUCCCUCUCCUCCCCACUCAGCU